GAUGAUGGUUGGGUAGGAUCUUCUUUUGCAUUUCUGAUACUGUACUAGUUGGGCUAAGGCCCACACAGUUACUACUACUGUAGUGGGCUAAGGCCCCCCUGAUAUUGCUACUAGUAUGGGCUCAAGCCCAAACUGCUCAACACUGUAUGUUUGACUGUUUAUUAAAUAGGGAUUACACACUGAGUUUCAUAACUCACCUUUUCUGUUUAACUGUACAGGAAAUCCUUAGGUGGGUCAGUGCUACAAGGGACUUAGGACGGCCACACCACUGUUUAUAAUUUCGUUUUGAUUUUAGUAAGAGUAGCUUUAUUUAGGGUAUUUU
rnacentral:lncRNA from 1 species